UCUCAUCUGGUCAUUAUGUCCUCCCUACACUCUUCUUCUCCCUUUCUGAAUACACUUUUACAACAGCCUGUCCCGGAAAUGCUGCAAUCAUGAAAGCCAAGAGAACCAGAAUACUCUUAGAAUGCAGAGAAGUACAACUGUUGCACUCAUGGAAAAGGCCUUUGGCUUCUGUGAACGUAGAAGAUUUCCCUCCCUUAUUUCACUUCCUUGCCCCAAGAAUCAAGGGUCCCCUAAGGAGAACAGAGAGCAAGUGUGCCUUUGAAAAGCAG
rnacentral:lncRNA from 1 species